rnacentral:rRNA from 1 species
GACGAACGCUGGCGGCGUGCUUAACACAUGCAAGUCGAACGGAAAGGCCCUGCUUUUGUGGGGUGCUCGAGUGGCGAACGGGUGAGUAACACGUGAGUAACCUGCCCUUGACUUUUGGAUAACUUCAGGAAACUGGGGCUAAUACCGGAUAGGAGCUCCUGCUGCAUGGUGGGGGUUGGAAAGUUUCGGCGGUUGGGGAUGGACUCGCGGCUUAUCAGCUUGUUGGUGGGGUAGUGGCUUACCAAGGCUUUGACGGGUAGCCGGCCUGAGAGGGUGACCGGCCACAUUGGGACUGAGAUACGGCCCAGACUCCUACGGGAGGCAGCAGUGGGGAAUAUUGCACAAUGGGCGGAAGCCUGAUGCAGCAGCGCCGCGUGCGGGAUGACGGCCUUCGGGUUGUAAACCGCUUUCGCCUGUGACGAAGCGUGAGUGACGGUAAUGGGUAAAGAAGCACCGGCUAACUACGUG